rnacentral:lncRNA from 1 species
GUCCCAACUUAGGAACCUCAUCCUAGAUCUCCCAAAAAUCUCAAAAUCUCUCAAAAUCGAGAUCUACUCUCCCCAAAUUUACUGCUCUCAUGGCUCAUUUUUCUGAUUUCCCCAAAUUCCAAAUCCUAAUCCUUAAAUCCAUGAGAAACUUUUCAAAAAUCAUCUUCUCCACUUAGUUUCACUUCAAUCCACAUCCUUCUCUACCCUCUUGACCAUUAUCCACCCUCUUCUUGGGACAUAGCCCCCAAAAUGAGAAUGCCACAA